UAUACACACACUGUUGUCAGUCACUGAUAACUCCUCCCUUCUGUACCGAUGGCUCUUCACAGGAAGUGGAAAAGGCAAAGAUAUAAAUGUAUAAAUUACAAGUUUUACUGAAUCUUUUCCUAUAAAACUAUAUAUCAAUCUGCUCUGCUCCUCCUGCUCUAUAACAUGGUGCUUUCAGAUUGCAUUGCAUUUUGUGGU